rnacentral:rRNA from 1 species
UACGGAAGGGGGCUAGCGUUGCUCGGAAUCACUGGGCGUAAAGCGCACGUAGGCGGCUUUCUAAGUCAGGGGUGAAAUCCUGGAGCUCAACUCCAGAACUGCCUUUGAUACUGGAGAGCUUGAGUCCGGGGAGAGGUGAGUGGAACUGCGAGUGUAGAGGUGAAAUUCGUAGAUAUUCGCAAGAACACCAGUGGCGAAGGCGGCUCACUGGCCCGGUACUGACGCUGAGGCACGAAAGCGUGGGGAGCAAACAGG